ensembl:lncRNA
GUAAGACCAAAUUAAACAUUUAAUUUUGCUUCCGUCCGUCUCAGGGCCUUUAAGUGCUCAUAUGUAUCGUGGUCCUCCGUAAUGAAGGAUCAACAUGGACCCAGUGUCUUCCGAAUUUAUAUGAACAUGGAGCCUGGUUUCUAAUCAACCAUCUCGUGGAAAUAACAGGAGGGCAGUUUUGAAAAAUGGUUGGCUAGAUAAAGAAGUCUUGACUUCAUUAUUUUAUUUAGUACCGAAGGACCUCUUUACUAAUUUCCUCCUAUGAAGCCCAUGUUCUCAAGGAUUCAUUUGUAAUUCUAUGUGUUUGUUUUAUUAAUCAGAGCCCUCUGUGAAAGCUCUCGGGCUUCUGAUCAGCAGGAGAAGUGGUAUAAUUCCACUGAUGGAUAUGCAAUCAAAAGCAAGGAAAACCUUAUCAUGCGGGUUAUCCUAUAGGUCUUUCCAAUGAUAGCAGUGGCUCAUGGGUGCCAUGACUGCCUUCAUGGGCUCCUGUGGGCUUUCAAGAUACCAGUGUGGGAUCCUCUGCUCUGGUUAAAAAUCCCAGGAUCACUGUCGAAUGCGACCUGGCCCUUUGUGGUUGGAUGAGCCUUCUAAGGGACUUUGAGGUCCUGGAAGGAGCCCAUUAGUUUCUGCUCCUUUAUUGUAAGGAUACAGGCGUAUAUUAAGGGCAUGAAACACAGGAUGGAAGAGGUCUCACUCUCGUUGUCCCUCUUUCCUCCCUUUUCUCUGUUUGCAUGCCUGCUUCAUUGCAUGCUUUCUUGCUGUGGAGUACUCCUGAUUCCCACGCUCUGCCCUAAGCAUCCCAGGGCAGAGGUGGUCAGCCCCUCUGCUGGCCUCAGAAGAGAUAGCUGACUGGUUCCUCUUGGUGAGGUGUCUAGCUUUUGUCCAAUCAGCACUGUCUAAGGGUGGGCCUUUAUGUCCAGCUGCUGGCCUAAUCACGUCUUCUGAGAAUGGGAUUCUGCAGGGACUGGGAGAUGGGCAUGUCCCAAUAUGGGGGAGGGAAACUGGUACCCAAGAGUCCUGUGCGUCAUUUAGGGAGAUAGGAAUGAGUAGAAUUAGGGCAUGAAUAGGUCUCUGAACCUAGAGACUAGGUUUCAACCUUGGAUGCACCUAUGGGGCUUUAGAAAAUGUUGAUGCCUUGCACCAGACCAGUUAAACCAGAACCUCCAGGGGCUGGUGGGGCUCAGGCAUCACUAUUUUUUUUUAAUUAAUUCCCAGUGAUUCUAAUGCACAAUCAGGAUUGAGAACUCCUGGUAGAAGUGUCCAGGGACACAGUUAGUUAUGGAGACCCAGAAAGUGAAGAAGCCGCUGAAAAUAUGAUGCUGGCAUGCUAAUCGCGUGAGACAACUCGGCCCGCGGACAGCCACAAAGCACAAAAACAAAACAGACUCAGAGAAGACACGCGAAUGGUGUUUUCCUGGCGUCUACAAGAAGCGCUUUAUUUUUU